AUCCUUAGGUCGCUGGUUCAAUUCCGGCUCGAAGGAGAUGACUUUUUUUUUUUUUUUAUUCGUUCAUUCCCCUGGGUGCAAAAACAGUUCCUCUCUGAAGAUAUACAUUUUUUAGAAGUAUAAGUGUAAUGAAACAUUCUAUUUAAUUUGUAUAUGAUAUAUUUAUUUUUUAUACUUUAUUUGGUGCAAUGAGGCAGUAAGUGCAAUUAUCCACUUCCUCUGUCUGCCACUUACAGAUCACUUGCUGUCCAUUAGUGAUCCAUAAGUUUUAGGAAAAUGGCAGAAAUAUAAAACAAAGGCAUAUAACAUAUGUUUAUCUUAGGGGCCCUCACACUUGCGUUUGUAUCUGCAUUUGCCCUGCGAUUGAUUUUUACAUACCGCCCAAUGUUCAAUCAGAAAGAAGGACAAAAAGAUCU
rnacentral:tRNA from 1 species